rnacentral:lncRNA from 1 species
UGAAACAUAGAUAGAUAAGACUUAAGAAGUUAAGAGUACUCUCUCUGUCUCCAUCAAUUUGGUGUGCUGAAACUCAAACACAAUGAUAAUCAAACAAACACCAUCAAGGAAAAUUAAGCACAACUUGGAAAAGUAAUCAUUUUUUAUUAUUCCAAAAUGGACAUAAAAAGUAAAAUUGUAGUACAAACUAAUUUGCCUAAACUCAUAAAGUUGUAGCUUCGCGCCGCACUCACCUAAUAUUUUACUUUACAAUCCCAUAAUUUAAGCAUUAUAUAAUCCUACAAAAACUUCUGUCACAACCCUUAAGAGCCCACGCUGGAGAAGAAAGCAGAGCUUUAGUCUGACAAUUUUUUUUACGUGAUUUUGACUUCAUCCUUCAGUGACUUGACUAUGAUCCAUCUACGGCUUCUUUCAGCAAAUGACCAUACUCUUCCAGACUAGCAAAUGGAGAAGCCCCAGUCUUAGCACGAGACUUCCUCUUUCCAUUCCUUUUGUUGAAGCUUUGAUCCUCAUUAAAAUCAGUAUCGUCAAUAUGAAUAUUACCAUCUGUGUCCCCAAUAUCCAUAAGUUCAAAACUGCCGUCACUCCCAUCAUCUUCUCCUUCAGCUAUAUCUGAAGGUGCAUCCGUCUCUGCACCCACUGUCACAACCAAUUAAAUCAUCGUCACUCCCAUCAUCUUCUAGUAAUAUUUAUUUGAUAAAGAUUUUCUUACUAGUAAUAAACAAUAGUUAUAGCAAUGACAUAGUAACUACGGUAAAGGCAUACUGCAACACUAGAAUUCUGAAUUCAAUAUAUUCUUAAGCAAGAGGAUGGCAAAUUAAUUUGAAUCAAACAUAACAGUUCUAGCAUAGAAAAGCAUUAGAAAUGAAUUAUGAAAAAGAUACACCAAACCAUGUCAGAUAAUGCACCUAGCCUCAAUCUUAAACCCCCAUUGCUUGCCAGAAUAAAUGGGUGCUUUAUUGUUUGCUCCAAUCCAAAUACUUGGGUGCUGCUGACUCUUGUUGGAUUACGUUGCGGUUAAUACCUGUGUAAGCAGGGAUUUCCUUCAUGCUAAACAUGUUUGCUGCGCUUAUCCCAAGAUCUUCCUCGAGUCCAUUGGCUGUAAAGCUAGUUCCCAUGGUUUGUUCAACCAGCAGAACAGAUUUUGCAAGCUGGUUGUUGCCAGGAGAAGACACUGCAAGACAUUUUUCAUGUGUUCUCCUACUGUUUACUUCUAAGCGAUGCUGAGUUCCCCACCGGCGUACCAUUGGGCUGGUAAGCUUUAGAUUUUUUUUUAACUUUCAACCAGCCAAAGAAUGUUGGCGAAGGUUGGCCUUAGAUUGUGAACGUGAGAGAGAAGAGUCGCCUGUAGAAAAAACUUUCAAAAGACAUGGAAAAGCUCCCUCAGAGGGGUCCAAUAAAAAUCUACCACUUAACAUAGUAUCAACAAAUUAAUAUUGUAGUGUUAGACUGCUAGUGCCAAUUUAUCUGCAGAUUUUGAUGGCUAGACGCAUAUGUCACAAAAUAAUGAAAAAAGCUCAAACGCAAGAGAGGAAAAGUUGUUUGGUAUUUUGUUUAUUAUUGCCACAUGUCAAUAUCUGACAUUAUCUGACAUGGUUUGGUGUAUCUUUUUCAUAUCAAGACACUUGGUAAGAUACUACGCAUAGAAGCUUACCAGUUUCAAAUCUCCUUGUUUCCUGAGAAUUACCCUUAGCGGCUUAGCAUGAUUAGAAUCAGCUCUGGCUCUCUACACGCCAAUCUGGUUACAACAUGUUUGCAUAGAUCCCUUAUCCUUGUUUGGGUUCUCGGAUCUCUGAAACCAAAUCAUCCAUCAGCAUAUGCAUACAUACAAACGGACCCUCACAUUGACUGCCUGCACAAUAUUCAUGUGUUGUAUGACCGAGUGCCACCAGAGUGAAGAAUAAAGCAACAUAAAUUUAUGGUAGUCCUUUACAGAUACUAAAAGGCAAGAAACAAUAUGAGAUUGUAUUCCUUCAUAAUCCAUUUAUGUCUGAGAUAAUAAUCAUCGAAAGACACAGCAGUAAUAUCUAUAUCUGAACUUUAGAAACAAAAACUUCAUAGUUACAGUUUCCCUUCACUAUAAUGAAACCUGCUAAUGGUGAAGCUUCUUUCAUAUUUAAGUGAACAGCUAAUUCAAACAACCUAGGCUUUUAUCUCUUCUCUAAAAAAAAUAAAGUGUAUCCAUUCAAAACAAAAGUUUAUUGUUCAAACGCUCCCAGUAACAAUUGUCAAAAACCAAAUUCAGUUUUAAAAUAUAAAAAUUGUAUCCAAAAACAAUAUUUCAUAAAAUUAUUGCAAUUUACAACAUCACAUGAAGUCAUGAAUUCAUUAGAUUCGAAGUAUCCCUGCUCUUGUCAAGGCACUCAAAGUUUUGUUUAAAUUAUCACAAAAGGAAAUGUUCUCUAAUACUCUGUACUAACAUAAGACUGAAACAUAGAGAUCACUGGUUCCAGUUGAUAUAUCCUAGAUAUUUGACAUUUUAUUGGGCCCUUUUUAUUUGCAAUCCCAUCAAUUCUAUUUCCUCUAUGUUAUCAAUAACACAGAUAAAUAUAUCGACAGGUUUGGCACUUGGAAGCAUGCAAAUAGGUGUGGCUAGUUUUCACUCGAGUUUUAUCAGGUAUAGGUUAGCGUUGAAUUCUGGAAUGUGAUUGAAUGAAUAUUCAAGAAACAAAUCCACUUCCUAUAUAUACGUGAAUAGGGUACAAAAGUUGCAGAUAAAAGCUUUCACGCAAAGUAGAGAACCAUUCAUACAGUUCAACAAUUGAGUAAUGUAAGGUGACACUAAUUAGCAAUUGGUAUCACUCUACAUUGGAUUUGACGCAGUGGAUUAUGAGUGAGUACUGUUCUUUGAAAAGAGAGGCACCAUAGAGUUUACCAAUUAACUAAAUAGGAAAAAGAAUAAUAUACCUCUAAAGAUGAUUCACAAACUUGGUCAAGAGAAGGGGGAUAUCAAUGAGAUGCCUCUACAAAUUAAAAAAUCAAUCAGAGUACAGCCCGUUGAAACAAGAAGCACCACGAUACACAUAAAAAACUAAGCAAGGAAAUCCUUACCAUGACGAAUUUCACGCAAGAUAAGUGAUAGUGGUGGCUCAAGAUUAUACUUUUAUGUGAAAGAAGUCAUCACCUUUCUUACAGCGUUUGGCUUUUUCCUUGGUCGAUAAUUUUUACAGUUAUUGUCAGCAACACCAUUUGCAAACCUACCACAAAUAGACCAAAGUUAUUCUACAUUAAGGCAAUAACAGGAUACAGCUCAAAAACGAAUAGAAACCCAGAUAACCAAAAUUGUGAGCUUCAGGUCCUUAAUCAUUCUAAAAGACAACUCAAGUCAGCAUUUUGAAGCAUACUAAGCUGAAGAUUUGCCUAUUGUGUAAGUGGGCAUAAACUAGAGUUUUAACUUCUAAUAUGAAAAAAUUGAUCAUAGAAAAUAAUAUUACCAAACCAUUGGGACACAGUAUAGCCUUUUCAGCAACCUCCCUGCUGAGUACUGAAUAUUUCUACAAAAAAACACCAAUACAUUAACGUUUUAUAACUCAAAAAAGAGAAUAAAAACAAAAAUUAAAAACAAAAAGGGUUUACAUCAAGAGGGAUCUGGUUGCUGACUUCAAUAGCCUUACCAGUUUCAAGUCUCGUUGUUUCCUGAAAACUACCCUUAGCACGAUUAGCACUGGUUCUCUACGCGCCUAUCUGGUUAUAACGAGUUUGCAUAGAUCCCUUAUCCUUGCUUGGGUUCUUGGAUUUCUAAAACCAAAUCAUCCAUCAGCAUAUGCAUAGAUACAAAUGGACCCUCACAUUGACUACCUACAACAAUACUAAUGUGUUGUAUAACUAGGUGCUGCGGAAGUGGAAAAUAAAGCAAACUAAAAUUUAUGGUAUCCUUUACAGAUACUAUAAGGCAAGAAACAAUAUGAGAUUGUAUUUCUUUCAUAAUUCAUUUAUGUCUGAGAUAGUAAUCAUCAAAAGACACAGCAAAAACAUCUAUAUCUUGACUUUAGAAACAAGAACUUCAUACUUACAGUUUCCUUUCACUAUAAUGAAACCUGCUAAUGGUGAAGCUUCUUUCAUUUAAAGUGAACAGCUAAUUCAAACCAUCUAAAGCUUAUCUAUUCAAAAUGAAAGUUUAUUGUUCAAACCCUCUCAGUAAUAAGUGCCAGGGAUUGUCAAAAACCAAGUUUGGUAUAAAAAUAUAGAAACUGAAAUCCAAAAUAAUAUUUCAUACAAUUACUACAAUUCACAACAUUACAUGGAAGUUAUGAGUUCAUUAGAUUCAAAGUAUCGCUGCUCUUGUCAAGACACUCAAAGAUCUAUUUAAAUUGUAACAAAGGGAAAUGUUCUCUACUCUGUACUAACAUAAGACAUUACGACUGUAACAUAGAGAUCACUGAUUCCAGUUAAUAUAUCAGGUGAGAGUAAUUAGCAAUUGGUAUAUUGUUGAAAAAGCAAAGGUGCUUCACUUUAAAUGUUUUAAAAUACAGAGAUAUGAUCGGAGAUCUUACAAACACUUAAGAUCGGUGCCAUACAGCUAACUAGUACAUUGGAUUUGACGCAGUGGAUUAUGAGUAGUACUGUUCUUUGAAAAGAAAGGCAUGAUAAAAUUCAUUAAUAUAGUAAAUAGGAAACAAAAUACUAUACCUAUAAAAAUGUUUCACAAACUUGGUCAAGAGAAGGGAGAUGUAAAUGAGAUGCUUGUACAAAUUAAGAAAUCAAUCAGAGUACAAGCACUGAAACAAGAAGCACCGCAAUAUACAUAAGAAAGCUGAGAAAGGUAAUCCUCUUACCAUGACAAAUUUCACGCAAAAUAGGUGCUAGUGGUGGCUCAAGCCGAUCUGCUUUUACAUCAAAGGAGUCAUAACCUUUCUUACAGCGUUUGGCUUUUUUCCCUUGGUCGAUAAUCUUAACAACAAUGGUCAUCGACACCAUUUGCAAACCUACCACAAAUAGACCCGAGUUUUGCUACAUUAAGGCAAUAACAAUAUACAGCUCAAAACUAACAGAAACACAGAUAACCAAAUUUGUGAGCUUCGAUCAGGUCCCUACUCCUUAAUCAGUUUAACUUUAAGAGAUAACUCAAGUCAGCAUUUUUUUAGUAUACUAAGCUGAAGAUAUGUCUAUUGUGUAAGUGGGCAUGAAGUUGAGUUUUAAGUUAUAAUAUGAAAAUUUUGUUACAUGAACCAAAUCGUUGACAGAAAAUCAUAUUACCAAACCAUUGCAACACAAUAUACUUAUAGCAUAUUCAGCAACCUCCCUGAGCUCAAAGUAGUACUAGGUAGCAUUUUUUCUAGAAAAAAUAAACACGGAUACAUUAAUCAUUUUUAACUCAAAAGAGAGAAUAAAAACAAAAACCAAUAAUCUAAUUUUACCACAGAGAGGGAUGUUAUUGCCGAAUUUCAGUGAUCCAUUCCCAGCAGCAACAUCAACUUCAACGAGAAUACUGUAAUUCCUUCAUUGCCAGCAUGGGCACCUACUGUAAGUAGAAAUCUAAAAUUGUAAAGGUUUUAUAGGAAUUAGGGUUUAAUCGAUCCAAAAUAAAAACAUGUUUUUCUUGAUUCUAAAGAUGAGCGGGGUUUUAGUUGUUACUUUUAUUAAAGCUGCUGCAUCAAUAGAUAGAUUGCAUAGAAGAAUAAUACUUGUUUGCUACAAAUUAAUCCAAGGAACUUGGUUGUGUCUUGUUACAUCCCUCCCUUGAAUUCCUUUUCUCUUUAUUUUUUACUUUUUCGAUUACGAGACUCCACUCCAAGUCUCCAAUGCAAUUAUUGAAUAUUGAUCGAUCAUCUCAAACCUUUGUUCAAAGGAUUUCGUAACAAAAAAACAUAUAUAAGUUGCAAUGAGAGACAUACAAUUGUUAUUGUUAGAGAGAGAGAGAGAGAGAGAGAGAGAGAGAGAGAAGAAGAGAUUCUACUUACUUGAUACUCAAUUUCUCCUGAGUUGAAGAAGAAGAAGAAGAAGAAGAAGCUACCGCCAUGGCGCCAUGUUUGAUACUUUGAUGUUUCUGCUUCGAGAAGAAACAGAGGGAAUGGAGUACUGUACAACAAAGAGAGAAAAACAACUUCUAUAUAUAGAUCAAAAUUGUCUCUAUCUGAGCGUCAUGUAUACGCGGUGUAAAACUUACGCGUGGCGGUACAACGCAACUCGGUUCAUGGUUCCGUCUAAACCACGCGACGCGGAUCAUACGCGAGAGGGUUGCGUUUUAAUAACGCGACGCGGAGGAUACGGGGAGGAAGGUUUGCGUUUAAAUAACGCGACGCGGAUAAGGGUUGCGUAUAAUAACGCGACGCAGUGAAUACGCGAUGAGUGAUUCCAAAUGGGAUGCAAGUGCCGUACACGUGCUUCACACUUGGGUAGUUGGGUUCUAUCUAUAACCAAUUGGGCCUCCGAAUUGCAACGUCUAAAAGCCCAUAUAAGCUUUCUGCUCAAAGUCAUGAGUCUCAAGUCUGAACAAGCCCCGCCUGGGCCUGGCCACCCUCCGGCAACCCCACGACCUCACUCACAUCCAAAACAACAGACUGACAUAAACUGAUGGCAAAAAAACAGAUCAGGCAACAGAGAAUUUCAAAAAGUAUUUUGGUUAACAUUGGGUCAUACAAUUUGGUGUGCUGAAACUCAAACACAAUCAUAAUACGUAAUAGCUUUUAAGUAACAACAUCUCGUGAACAAACACCAUCAAGCAAAAUUAAGCACAACUGGGGAAAGGUAAUCAUUUUUUUUUAAUUCCAAAAUGGGCAUAAAAAGUGAAAUUGCAUUACAAACUAAUUUGCUUAAACUCAUACUGUUGUAACUUUGCGCUGCUCUACAAUCCCAUAAUUUAAGCACUAUAUAAUUCUACAAAACUUCUGUUACAACCGAUAACGGCUUAUCGAGCCCACACUGGAGCAGAAAGCAAAACUUGGUCUGACGAUGAUCUUCUUUUUUUACGUGAUUUUGACUUCUUUCUUAUGGAACCAUCUCCAUCUCCAUCUUCGUCUUCUUUCAGCAAAUGACCAUAUUCUUCCAGGCUAGCAAAUGGAGAAGCCCCAGUCUUAGCCCGAGAUUUCCUCUUCCCAUUCCUUUUGUUGAAGCUUUGAUCCUCAUUAGAAUCAGCAUCAUCACUAUCAAUAUUACCAUCUGUGUCCCCAAUAUCCACGAGUUCAAAACUGCCGUCACUCCCAUCAUCUUCUCCUUCAGCUAUAUCUGAAGGUGCAUCCGUCUCUCCACCACUGUCACUACCAAUCAAAUCUUCGUCAUC